rnacentral:rRNA from 1 species
UACGAAGUGGGCUAGCGUUGCUCGGAAUCACUGGGCGUAAAGCGCACGUAGGCGGCUUCUUAAGUCAGGGGUGAAAUCCUGGAGCUCAACUCCAGAACUGCCUUUGAUACCGGGAAGCUCGAGUCCGGGAGAGGUGAGUGGAACUCCGAGUGUAGAGGUGAAAUUCGUAGAUAUUCGGAAGAACACCAGUGGCGAAGGCGGCUCACUGGCCCGGUACUGACGCUGAGGUGCGAAAGCGUGGGGAGCAAACAGG